CAGAAGAUAGUUUAGUGAGAACAUCAGCUUUGGGAGCUGGAGGUGGAGGUUUAAGUCCUCUUUUUCUGA
rnacentral:tRNA from 1 species